GGAAUUCUGGCCGUAAAGCGCGCGUAGGCGGUUUUGUAAGUCGGAUGUGAAAGCCCAGGGCUUAACCUUGGAAUUGCAUUCGAUACUGCAUCACUAGAGUAUGGUAGAGGGAAGUGGAAUUUCCGGUGUAGCGGUGAAAUGCGUAGAUAUCGGAAGGAACAUCAGUGGCGAAGGCGACUUCCUGGGCCAAUACUGACGCUCAGGUGCGAAAGCGUGGGGAGCAAACAGGAUUAGAUACCCUGGUAGUCCACGCCGUAAACGAUGAGAACUAGAUGUCGGGGGGGUUGCCUUUCGGUAUCGUAGCUAACGCGUUAAGUUCUCCGCCUGGGGAGUACGCCGGCAACGGUAAAACUCAAAGGAAUUGACGGGGACCCGCACAAGCGGUGGAGCAUGUGGUUUAAUUCGAUGCAACGCGAAGAACCUUACCUGCCCUUGACAUACUCGAAACUUGUCAGAGAUGACUUGGUGCCUUCGGGAAUCGAGAUACAGGUGCUGCAUGGCUGUCGUCAGCUCGUGUCGUGAGAUGUUGGGUUAAGUCCCGCAACGAGCGCAACCCUUGUCCCUAGUUACCAGCACUUCGGGUGGGAACUCUAGGGAGACCGCCGGUGACAAACCGGAGGAAGGUGGGGGCGACGUCAAGUCAUCAUGGCCCUUAUGGGCAGGGCUACACACGUGCUACAAUGGCGAAUACAGAGGGUAGCUAACCUGCAAAGGCAAGCCAAUCCCAGAAAGCUCGUCGUAGUCCGGAUCGGAGUCUGCAACUCGACUCCGUGAAGUCGGAAUCGCUAGUAAUCGCGAAUCAGAAUGUCGCGGUGAAUACGUUCCCGGGUCUUGUACACACCGCCCGUCACACCAUGGAAGUUAGUUGCACCAGAAGUAGGUAGCUUAACCUUUGGGAGGGCGCCUACCACGGUGUGGCCAAUGACUGGGGUGAAGUCGUAACAAGGUAACC
rnacentral:rRNA from 1 species